rnacentral:rRNA from 1 species
AACGAACGCUGGCGGCAUGCCUAACACAUGCAAGUCGAACGAGACCUUCGGGUCUAGUGGCGCACGGGUGCGUACCGCGUGGGAACCUGCCCUUAGGUUCGGAAUCACUCCCCGUAAGGGGUGCUAAUACCGGAUAAUGUAUUCGGACCAAAGAUUUAUCGCCUUGGGAUGGGCCCGCGUUGGAUUAGCCAGUUGGUAGGGUAAAAGCCUACCAAGGCGACGAUGCAUAGCUGGUCUGAGAGGAGGAGCAGCCACGCUGGGACUGAGACACGGCCUAGACUCGUACGCAAGGCAGCAGAGGGGAAUACUGGGCAAGGGGGGAAAGCGUGAUCCAGCAAUGCCGGGGGAGUGAUGAAGGCCGUAGGGAAGUAAAGCUCUUUUACCCGGGAUGAUAAUGACAGUACCGGGAGAAUAAGCACCGGCUAACUCCGUG